ACGAAAACGAAGUCCAGCGGACAGACGCGAACCGAGAAAAAUAUCACAAAAUCUCUCGCGGCCGCGGCGACCGGAAGAAGACGACGACGGCGGCGGCGGCGGCCAUGGCGUGCCGCGCACUCGCGCUCCGCUCCCUCCUCCUCCCCGACCCGCUCAACCGCCUCCCGGCCGCCGCCUCCUCCUCGGCCGCGGCUCCACCUGUGGGGAGGGCGCCCCGCGGCAGCCGCCGCCCGCACCUCCGCUGCUGCUCCGGCAGCGGGGGAGGCGGCGGCGGGGACCCCGGGCAGCCGCCGCAGGAGGCCGUGCUCGAGGCCAUCUCUAAGAUAGCAAGGUCCAAAGGAAGGGUUGCACUCACAACAAAUAUGGUCAUGGGUGGUACUGUGACGGAUGACAAAAGUGAUGAGUGGCUUGUUCUGGAUCAGAAGGUAAAUUCAUACCCCACAGAUAGAGGAUUUACAGCAAUUGGUACUGGAGGUGAUGACUUUGUCCAGUCAAUGGUAGUUGCUGUUGAAUCUGUUCUUCAAGAAUCCAUUCCCAAGGGUCGGGUAUCUCAGAAGUUAUCUUCCAGAGGAAAAUAUGUUUCUGUAAACAUUGGACCAAUUCGUGUAGUUUCUAGCGAGCAGGUCCAAGCCGUGUAUCGUGCCAUGAGAAGAGAUAACAGGAUGAAGUACUUCUUAUGAAGUGCAACUACACAUCAGCUAUGUUUCAUUCUUCGUUCCAUUUUGUAACAUUAGAGUCUGUCAUGCAUUCUGCCAUACUUGCUGGAGCUCCAGUGAACUGAACAAAAAUGUGAGACGUAUUCUGUUGCACUCGAGCCCAAACAGAAGCGGCUGAAAUGAUUCGAUACAAUGUAUCUUUGUUGGUUUGGGUUACAUUCUGUAGUGUAGUGGUCAUGUUUAGAUACUACGCAUGGCUUCAGUUACAUUAUGUUCAAUAAUGUAUUUUUAUUGUUUUUAUGUUAUAGAUAUUUCAUAUUAUAAUGCUGUAUAUUACUGUUUUACGUUAUAGAUGUUUCAUAGUACGUCA